CAUCCUUCGUUUUUAGCAAUACCUUUUUUGCUUAUUAUAUAAAUAUUUUCUAGCUUAAGGGUCACAGAAUUUGGUUCGGAAUUGCACUGUGCUGGACCAAAUCAAACGCUGCUUUUACCUUAAGCAGUGUGGAUACAAACGGAGAAUUCACUAAGAAAUACUACUGUGGAAAAAUACACAAAGAGUAAUGUCAACAUUUUAUUGGUGCUGAGGUAGCUUGCCUUAUUGUGGAAUAGUCAGCCAAGAUAUUUGCACAGUUUGACUAGUGAUAAUUCUCACUUUUAUUGAGAUUUUACACAGAAGGAGCAAGGAAAUAGCAAGCAGUAUCAUCUACACAUCACAGCAUAUCCAGGUUACACAGCAGCAGCAGCAAAUGCCAACAGAUACAGUAUGGAGCAGUUGCAUAGAACCCCAAAGCUUAGUCAGUCACACAAGCAGUGUGAGUCGUGCAGGCAUCAGAGGAAUUGUAUUAAAAAGGUGAGUAUUAAAAAGGAGAGAGUAUUAGAUUUAAUGUAAACCCUCUUCUGACAAAGGGGAAGGAUGGCUGCCAGUAGAUACAGGGGUGGUGAGUGACAGGAUCAAAUCUUUCACCACUUUACUGAAUUUAAGGAUUGUGAUUUUGUCCAUGGAUGUGAUUUUGUCCUAAGGAUGUGAUAGACCGGUCUGUUGGCUACUUGAAUAGGAAGAUGCUGCCAUGUCUCAUUAGGUGCUAAGGUGGAUUUUGUCCGAUUGAGUUUAUGCUCACUUAGGAGGGAUCCAAUCACAGAUGAGUCCUCCAAGAGGCUACAGAUGGUCAUUUCAUGAGGAAAACAAACACACUUUUAAACAGAGGGCUGACAUCUAGAAAUUCAGAACUUAAUGAGUCUCACAGCUCACAUGAAUUACUGCAGGAGGAAAGUGAAAACAACAAAAAAAUAAAGAUUUCUUGCUUAAUUUUGGCAAAGGAAAUGGUGCAGCUCAUGUUAGUUUAGUAAAAUCAGCACCCACAGUUUCUAAGCAGUGAAACAAGAAUGAAUAUACAAUUAUAUUUGACUGCAGGACAAGAACACACAAUUGUUUUUCAUCUCUUUACAUUACAGAAACAGCUGCAAUUUUUAUUUUACAUUGUUUUCCCCCACUGUCAAUGCAUUUCUGCUGCUUGGAAAACUAAAUAAAUGGUUACAAAUGAGCCACAUCAGAACUUUUUUCAGACUAAGCUGCCAAGAAUAAAUAUCUCAGCGUUCUCUAGCUGUAUGUGACAGUUCAUGAGUGGCAAAGUUGAGAUCCAAAGUUUACCUGUAAGUAUUUUGCUUUUCUAAAGCCCCCUCAGUUCCCCUUCUGCUCUUCACAAACAUCUCCUCAUUCAGGUAUACCACAAAAAGAGCUUGUCCAUACAUGUGAAGACUCGCAUAAACAGUUCAUAAAAGAAGAGCUAAUGUUUGGGGUUGUUUUGUUGGUUUUUUUUGGUUUGGUUUUUUGUUGUUGUUGUUUUUGUUUUUUGUUGGGGUUUUUUUUGUUUUUUUGGGGGGUUUUUUUUGCAAAUUAUAGCUACAGAUUAAUGUGGAUUAUUUGAAAAAAAGAUAUUAGCAUUCCCUACUGAAUAUUCUGAAAUAAAUAAAAUGACAAGGAAUAGAUACAUUUCUGAAAGAUUAAAUAGUUCUACUUUGAAAAUCCACACUUCAGCUACAUCCAUGCUAACCAAACUGGAAAUAUCCCUACACUUGCAGCACUUACUGAUUGCUCUUAGACCAGAGCUGAUACAGAAGUAGUUGGUCUUGGUAUUUCUGAACAUAUGCUAUUGAUCCCUAUCUGAAUAAAGAAAUUUUUUGUUGGGAAGCGGGAGCAGAAGAGUAACAUGGCCAAAGUUUUAAAUGUUGUAAUUUCCCAUGUUUCUUAGUUACCAUUGUCCUACUUUGAUCUUUUCUUCUGCAAGCAAUGACACUUCAAGACCUGACACACAUUUUAAAGUUAUGAAUGUGGGUUUUGGAUAGGGAUUAUUUGAAGGAUUCCAGGGGAAAGGGAAUCUUCAGCAUGCUGCUGGGUGUAGCAAAAUGCUAAGCAACUUGCCAACCUGCUCAAUACUGUCCAGCCCACUACUCAUACAUGCAGCACAUAGGGGCUUUGUGGAACAACAUUGUCCACUUCCAAUUUCAGGAUCAAAAUUGCCAUUUGUGUCCACACACAACUUUCACUACUUGGUUUUGUAACUGCACAAAAUAUUGAAAAAAAUAGCUAGAAAUUUUUUGGCUUCAGGAGAACACUACUCAUAGGUGCACUGCCAUCUUCUGGGAGAAUCUAUUCAGUUUUGAAGCCAGAUGAAUUAGCUACUUUGUCCAGCUUCUUCCCAGUAUAGUGAAGAAGUUGUAUUCCAAAUAGCUGAUACUACAGUUAAAAGUUUUGAGUUUUCACUUUAUGAUAUCUUGCUUCAUUCAGCACCAAGAAACAAAUGUUAUUGAAUGCCAUAGUUAUGAGUACUAACUAAUACAUGGACUUCUGAGGAAAAUCCUUUUGAUGGCCACGGAAGGCAAGACAUCAUUUGUAAAACACCACUUUCAUACAAAGUGUUCAAGAUUUUUAGCUAUCAUCUCUGCCAGUCCUACUCCUACUCAGUAAUCCAAAGGAAAACAUUAAAAAGUGUCUAGGUUCAAUACACAGAUCUUCAUUACAAGUUAGAGAUAUAUUAACCUAUCUUCAAAUACUUCAAAUUACUUUUUAUCUAUUUUUUGCCUACUGAUGAACACUGACCCUCUGGAUCAGGCUAUUAAUAACCUGAUUUAUGACAUCUUCCAUACUUAAGCAGAUCAGCAGGAGAAAGCCUGCAUGCCUCAGAUGAAAAGCAAACACUCCAGUUAUUUUAAACAUCUUUUCACAAAAUAAUGUUAUCUUUCAUAGACUAGAAAAACACUGCCCAAAAUCUCCUGCAGAAAUCACAUUAAUUCAUUGAGUUUAAGGCUAAUAUAUACCAAAUCUCCACUUCCAGUGAGGUGGGUUACAGAAUUUCAAUCUACAGCGCAGAAGGAACCAGAGAAGAGAAACUGUUUAUUCCAACCUGUUUUGUGAGCAAAUGUUGUCAAGUAAAACAACGUGGUUAAAUCAAACUAUCUGUUUAAUUAAGCCUCAAAGUCCCAAAAUCAAACUGUCUGUUUAAUUAAGCCUCAAAGUCCCAAGUAAAAGUAUUUUUUACUGCUUAUACUUACAGGCCAUGGACAAGCUAAUUACUAACAUCUAUCCCCAGGAAAAGACAGAAACCAUAUUAUUGUCUAAUUUAUUUAUAAUCACCAAAGUCACCAAAUCUCUUAACUUAUCCUUUUUCUAUUCUACCUCUUUUGCCAUAGGCUGGAAAUAUGUCAGAUUGAGAGGAAUUGCAUUAGUCUGUGCUGAAUCUUGUAUUUCAUAUUUAUGCAAAUAAAUCAUUCCCAAGCCAGUUUAUCAGCUAAUGAUAAAUUCAGACUCUCAGUCAUUCUACCAGCAAUAACACUUGUCAAAGUUAAAGUAAAUUCUUUGUGCUGCAAUGAAACAAAAUGACUGGAAGGGCUGAUAAAUGCUGGUAAGCCCGGGACAUGAUGCACAGACCUGGGAUGUCAGCAAUUCCUUAGCUGCCACCACCUUGUCCAAACUCAGACUGGGACUAGCACAGAACAAGGUUUAUUUGCUUAGCAGCUGUCUGCAACUGGCUGCUUUUCUACAUCCCAUCUCUCACCUCCAGUGGAUCUCAGCUAAUGCUCCCCUCACUGUUUUGAAGGCAAAAGUGAAUCAAAACUAAUUAAGCUACAAUUAUGUUGUCUAACGUACAAACACUUCUGGGCUUUGUGUUACCUUCGUGUUCAGAGAGAUGUCCAGUGCAGGUAUUUUCUAAUCUGUGUUUACUCCACAGCUUAGUUUGAUCAUUUCUAGGAACACCUGCUAAGCUUGCAAGUACAAGAGUUAACUAAUGAAAAUGGCUGCUUGAUCUGACUCUUGUCUAAAAUGGACUGGGUGGAUGGACUGGGUGAUCCUGUGGGUCUUUUUCCAACCUUGGUGAUUCUAUGAAAAUCUUCCUUCUACUAAUAUCCACCCUGUCAAAAGGACCUCACAAAGAAUCACAGAAUAGAAUCAAAGAAUCAUUAAGGUUGGAAAAGACCACUAGGAUCAUCUAGUUCAACCGUCAGUCAUCACCAGUAUGCCCAUUAACCAUGUCCCUCAGAUAAUGGGCAUAAAAAGAGGCUCGUUGAUAUCAGUAAUGCAAUUGAUCUUCAGCACUGCCAAGGAAGUCUCAUGUAUGCAAACAGGAGUCCACAGAAAGAGGCAGAUGCUUCCCUGCAUGGUUCUUCCACACUGUACAUAGCCUCUGGAAAACUUACAACAGACAGACAGCCACAUUAGAGAGGUAUGAGCAUUUGAUUUGGGGUUGGGAGCGGAUUGGGAGGCAGGGGGUGAUAGAUCUCUUCCUGGGUUGUGAUGCACAGCAGAAUUAUGAUCGAAGUGUCCACGUGCAUUCAUGUCAAAUAAAAUGAACCAGUUCAAUUUGAAACUGGGACCAGAAGCCCUUCCAAGACCCAGGUAGUUUACUGGUGCUACACAUGUAUGGAAAUCAUUAGCUGAGCAUGUAAAACAAAUCCCUGAUUUUGUCAAAACUAACAGUCACACAACAACAGAGUAAAAGACAAUAGCUUUUUGCUAGCACUGAACAGAGUCCUGCUAUCCCAUAUCGUCUUCGGAAAAAUAAACAAUGGGGGAGGACUUUGGAGAAAAAUUUCAGUACAAAAGGGAGACAGAGACCGAGUAGAUCUGUUUUCCAGACAGAAUGAAGGUAAGCCAUUGCUCCCAUGCCUGGAAAGGCCAGAGUGCCCCAUGGGCUACCUUUAAUGUACUUCUCUGCACAAAGAUGCAGAAAUAAUAACCCUGAACAUGGGACCUAUCCAAAACCAAGUUUAUAUAAACAUCUCCCAGCCAUGUGAACCAGAAACAGGAGGAGUGGAGGAAGCUGUUCUUCAGGGAUUGCUAAAACUCACUGAGCAGAGAUGGCUGUGACUACACUGCAUCUUCUCCUUUGAUUUGCCCCUGCUCCUAACAGUGUUUUUAUGGGAGGGUCCAGAAGAAAUAAAGAUGCUCUGACUCAAGUUAUUCUCAAUUAUUCCAAGGCCCACAGUAUUCAUUAAGGAUGAACUUUAAAUAUGGGACACUACUGAUUUUUUAUUCUGUAUUGAAAGUGAAUUUCUUAUAUUCAUUAAAGAGUAUGGUUUUUGAGCUAAGUUAGGAAUAAGUUCUGGAAUCUUGUUUUACAGCCUCAGAAUUCAGAAAUGCAAUUUCAAAUAUUUACAAGGCUAUUUACAAAGACAUAGGCUGAAAUGUAGCUUCUAGUGAACUAAUUCAUGAGCUCAAAAUGAACAAAAAUGAUUGCUUGCUUUCCCACAGGAAGAAAUCAUCAAGUUUCACUUAUACUCCCUUUACUGUAUGAUUAACUAUUACUUCUGUACCAGCCAAGAGAUGACCUGCAGCAACCAUUCACAAGAGGCUAAAGUCAUAAAUAGAUACAGAUUCAAAAAUAUUUAUCUGAAAUAAAAACAACUCUCAGACCAGCAGAGCAACUUCACAGGUUUGCUUGGCACACACAAGUAUAUGAAGACAGAAUCUUCCCACAGUGCAGAGCCUAUGCAGUUUUCUCAGAUAAUUCAUGCAAGUAAAGCAAUGAGAUCUAACAGCUAAAAAAAAACAGUCAGAUACAGAUAUAUAAAUAUCGAUGCUAACAAUGAAUACAAGCUGGCUAUAUUUCAUUGACAGCAAAAAUAAAUGCAGCUCAGUUUUACUGGAACUUGCAAACAGGUUUGCAGAGUGAUAAUUAAACUCAGACCCCAACAUCAAUGGAAAACUCAAUUAUAUCAGCAUCAACAAAUCCUAUAUAAUGCAUCUAUGUUCAUAAUGGGAAGGAACUGCACCAUAGACAUGGAUAAAUAUAGAAUAAACCUAUAAACGAAAACGAUGGCAGAUAACUGCCUGAAUUGAAUGUGCUGGAUGCUACACCUUAUUAAUGCUUUAAGGACAUUAAAGUUAUCUCCUAUCAUCAGACCAUUCCCCAUAAAGUUAGGAAGCAGCUGGGACCACCCGUGGAGUGUAGCAGCCACCCUCUGAAAAUGCCAUCCACAGAAGCUGCAAUCCUCAGAACAUAAUCUUUUCCUAUUCCUCUGUAAAGUUCUCAAACAACUGUGGUGAUAAAGCAGAGCUCAAAAGUUUGACCUCCCACACUAACUCAUUCAGGGCUUUAUCGUGCUGCCAAUAACUCACAUAUCAGGAGUGCUGGCUCCUCUCUCCUUUAAUCAAGGAGAAGAAGAACUGCACAUCUGCAUGGCCAGUUGCUAUGAGUGCUGCCUUAUUUUGGUUUAUGACAAAGGACCAAACAAUAGGGGGUGCUUUGGGGAAAAUAUUCUUCUGUCCAGUGAAGGGAAUGCGUGCAUCCAAGCCAGAGAGGAACCAAGCAAGGAAUCUGGCUGGGCUCAGAUUGGCACAACAAAUACAAUGAGAUUUCAUCAUUCAUUCCAUGAACAACAAAGCUUCAGAAACAUAGAAUUCUGACUUCUUUUCAGAAAUCAAUUGAAAUAUUUUGUUCAAAACUGCAGGAGACUUGGUACAAAAUUCAGUGAUUGUGAAGCAAUUGUAUUAUGCAUAUGGCAUUCUUCAAGAACACAUGUGGAAUGGCUGAUCAGUACAUCAAACACAAUAGCAUACAUUAAUGGAAACAAAACAUAGUAAAGAAAACUAGGCCCUGACUUUACAGUGAUACAGUCUGAAGAUUUUAUUCCACAACCUUGAAGCCAGAUCUGGAGUAAAUUCCAAAUAUAGCAAUGCUCCUUUAAGGAAAUAAUUCAAUUUCUACUCCAAAUGUGGUUAUAUUUCUGAUAUCAACAGACUGAAUCAAAUCAUAUCUGAAAACAUGAAGAAAAUAUGAAAAAACUGUUUUGCCUAAGGAGAUAGGGUUUCAAUGAACUGAACAGAGUUAAAGGGUUAAGGAUAGAGGUUUGAAGUACUAGAAGAGAUAAAAAUGCAAGCUGAUGUAUGAAAAAAAAAAAACACAUUUCUGUGUGCAAAGCCUGUAAGAAAAAAAAAUUCCUGUUGUCAUGGAAAUUGAAACAAAACCAAAAACCAUUCCCAAUCACAAUGGAAGGCUGAGAUUUUGAAAUUUCCUUUGGAAGAAAGUUUUUAGGGAAAACUAUUAAUUUAGAGCCACUAAAACAUAUUACUCCCUACAGAUGACAUGUUUUUAUGUAGUUAAGAAUCAGGAUUUCAUUUCUAUAGUUCAGUUCACUCCUAUUUAUAUCAUCAAAAUAUUGAUAAUUGUACCUUAACAUUUACACUUAACACAUAAGAAAAACUUUUUCACUGCUACACGCAAAGUUGUUUCUAACAAAUCAAACUGAUCACAGAGAAGAUUAAAUAUUUCUGCUUCACACUUUAACUUUUAAAAUCAGACAUGAAGUGGAAAUACUAGCACUUCCUUAGAAGUGUUGUCCUGGGAAGAUAAAUCAGAUCUAUAUAGUGAUCUCAUUGUCAAAUGAGCCCUACCAAGAAAAAAAAUAGGCAAAUAUGCAAAAAAUCAGGAGUUGCCCUGGAAUAUUGCUCCUGGCAGACUGUCACACUCAUGCUCUCAAGAAUCAGUUUACUGCCUAGGAAGACAUUUCAGUAUCUUUUGACAUGUAUUCCCAGUUUCAUCCCUGAAGGCCCUUCAUGGGAAGUAUUAGUUGACACCGCAGAGGAUAUGAACAUCUCCACUUAAGCCCAAGACACUGUUACAGCUGCAAUUCAGAUGUACAAAGUUGGGUUGCAUCUCCUAUAUGUCUUCUCUUCACACCUCAGUACCCCGGUCUUUGUGAUGCAGGCAUCUAGUCCAGUAAAUUUUUAUUAAAACCAUUGAUAAGGCUGUCAGUAGAGUAAAUUUGCCCAUUCCCAGCAAACUGACAAAUUAUGCUGAGUGUUGGCUUAUUGACACAACAAUGGACUCACUGAAAAGGGUCGGGCCUCCGCCAAGAAGACAAUGAUCCAGGGGCUUUCCAAUUUCUCAGUCUCAUAUCACUUCCAACUACUCAGGUUUUCGUGACUCAGCAGAGAAUUAUUAUUAUUAUUAUUUUUAAACCUGGCUCAUUUUUGGAAUCUGCUUUAUCUUGACACAGAUUUAUGUCAGUGUGACUGAGAUAAUGGCCAGCUGGAUCUGGGACUAGGCAAGGUGCCACAAGGGAGCAGGAGGAAUCCUUAAGCCACUUUUAUCACCAACCCUUCAUCUUCGCUGUUGCUGGCUUGAGCUCAGCUCCCUAACUCCCUAAAUAAUGCUAGGAAAAAAAAAAAAAAAAAAAGCCUUUCACAAUUUCACAUAUAUUAAGAAUGUUAUAUCUGUCCAAGUCUUCUCUUCUAUAGACUAAAAAGCAUGAACAUUAAAUAAUAAUAUUAGAACAAUUUCUCUCUUGAGCCCAUCUAUCCACUUCAGUGCUCUAUUUCUGUUUACCAGCCACUAAGCAGUUACUGGUUGAUGCUAGUUCAUUUACUGGAAAGAGCCCUUUUUGAAAUGCAUUCACCAAUUAUUCCAGAGGAACAUACAUACCCAUUUGUAACUACUACUUAAAACAAAUAAUCUUCUCUCCACUCAGACUUCACAGUUAGAUUCCCUUUAAAGGACCAGGAUGGGCUCCACCAGUCUUUUCAUGUUUUGUUUUGUUUUGUUUUUUUAAGUAUGCUCAAUAAUGAAGUUCUCACUCAUAAAUUUGUUAAAAAAUUGGCUCAUUCCCUUUCUUAAAAUAUGAUUUUCUUGUAUCAGCUUUUUACCUUCCAUCUCAACCAAAUUAGACCAUUCAUUUGUCCUUACUAACCCCCAGCUGAGCAUCAUGAACAACAGUGGAAGGCAAUGGAUGAGCUACAGCAACAACAGAAGCAGCAUGGACUUUUGCUCUAUCUAAAUUCACUAAGGAACAUAAACAUUUUCCAAAGAAUACAACUAAAACUGGAUAAACACUUUUUUUUCUUUUCUUUUUGUGAAUAGAGAAUUCAUUGAAAAAGGCUGUGAAAGGGAGACCAACUUUAUUUCUGAAUCCAGCCUAUGGCUGGUGGGAAUUUUCCACAAAGCAAACAACCCAAACAAAAACAAAACAAAAAAGGCAGGAGGGAUUUUGGAACAGUGCACAUUUCAUUGUGAAAUUUUCUAAGAGCAUCUUGUUUCCAGAGAUGCUGAAAUGUUGCAUUUCAACAUAUUCAAAGAAAGAAAGAAAGAAAGAAAGAAAGAAAGAAAGAAAGAAAGAAAGAAAGGAACUCCUUUCAUUGUGAAACUUUUUGUAAAAUUUUAAAUCAGCCUAAAUUUAAUUAGAUGCAAAAAGAAUUAACCCCUCACAAUCAAAUGAAACAUGGAGUCAAGUACAGAAAAAGUUCAAGGAGUCUUAAAUUUUGGAUCUUUUAAACAAUUUUGUUCAGCAACCAAACAAAAAUCUAUUGUUCUCUUUACUAAAAUAUACUACAUUUUAUAUAACUACGACAGGACAGCACAGGGGAUGAUUUUUUUCGUUAAAGACAUUUCAUUAAAGACAGGUCCUUUUAAAGAGCUUGGCCAAAACAAAAAUCAGUUUUUCCAACAAGACCUCAACUUUUUUCCACUUUUCCACAGCUGAAGUCAUCAUUUUCACCGUAACACGAGGUCUUCUACAGCACCAUCACCCCAUUUUUGAUCAUCACACUCCUCCUUGGAAAGGACUGUAUAGGAUGAGGAAACUACUGUCCUACAUAGUUUAAAUAUCAGAAAAGAGAGGCAAAAGAAACAAUGGAAACCAGAAGUGCUGGAUGACAGAAUGGCUGGCAUAGGAUCACAUGAAACAUCAACUGAAGUCACAAGGGAAGAUCCCAAUCCUUUGCAGCCCAAAGCCGCAGCUAUCCACCAUGAAAGCAAUGUGCCUGAGCCAGCCCCGGUCUGUGCCUCCCUAUGCCUGCUUCUAUGAAAAUAUCUGCAGUCUGGGCUUCCCAAUGGAAGCAGGACUGGCUCCUGAUCCCUCCAGCACUGUAGUAAUUAUGGUAACAAAAAGCUUCUCUGCAUGCACACUCUGCCAGCACUUGAGUUUCCAUCACACUGACAAAGAUCUCUCUUAAUUAAGGUGUCGAAACUUUACAGGAUUGGCUUCCUCUGUGCUAGGCUCUCUCAGAUCCCAAAUUCCUUUUUCAGCUGCUUUUCUGACCACUUAAUUAACAAGUGAUGCAACAUCUGACUAGCCAAGAGAGGUAUCUCAAUCUCUGUGAAAGCAGUCAGAGAGAGGAAAAGUCAGCAAUUUUUCUUUCCUUUCUUCUUUUUUUUUAAUGCUCAUUAUAUAUAGUUUAUUUGAUUACUUAGUCCAACAAAGAUCGCGCUCCAGUAACUGGAAAUAUUUUGCCACGAGAGUUAUUAUUCAAAUAUUUCUGUUUUUUUUUUUUCUCACCAUGCUAUGCACUUCUCUUUUUCUCCUCCACCCAAAAGUAAAAACAAAUUAUCAUCCCAUGCAAGGUUUAUUGCAGUGACCUUAUUUGCUGAACUACAUUUGUGAUGAUGAAGUCACCUGCAUUUUAAAGGAACCAAAUACUGAAAAUACAUACGGGACAACAGAACAUAAAGCAUUUAUUCCUGACCUCAUUGCCUUUACUCAUUAUUUUAGUUUGCUGAAUAGCUGUGAACACUGCAGGGACUGUAUAUCUCAAUGCAUGGUAUGCCAAAGAGGGGGUGCUGUAUUAUCAAAACCCUCUUGGUCUACUGUCUACUAAGAGGGAAUGGUUUCAAAAUGAGACAGGGGACAUUUAGGCUAGAUAUUAGGAGGGAGUUUUUCACACAGAGGGUGGUGACACACUGGAACAGAUUGCCCAAGGAGGUUGUGGGUGCCCCAUCCCUGCAGGCAUUCAAGGCCAGGCUGGAUGUGGCUCUGGGCAGCCUGGUCUGGUGAUUGGCUACCCUGCACAUAGCAGGGGGUUGAAACUCAAUGAUCAUUGUGGCCCUUUUCAACCCAGGCCAUUCUAUGAUUCUAUGAUUCUAAGUACAGAGUGAAAAAGACCAAGGAGUGAGCUAGACUGUCCAUUCUUCCAGGUUACAUUCACUGUGCUUCCCCCACUUUUAAAUGAACAGCAGAAGGGAGACUGCAGUUAGCAAAAGUCAUACUAUGACACAGUCCUCUUCCAUGGAACAUUCUUUUCUGUAGGAGGAGAGGAGAGAAAAAGUUUCAAGACACGGGGACAAUAUUUCCCAGCAAAGCAUCAUUGCAGCACAGCUCUUGCCACCAAUCCCUUUUUUUCUCUUUCUCCUUUACUUCACUCCAGCUGCUCUCAUUGCCUCUCUCCUGAUUUCAAGACUGCGAACACAAAGACCUUGAAAAAACUGGCAUCAGAUUGAGAAAGAUGUUGUGGAUAUGGCAGAAAAUGCUGCAGUGGAUGUGGUGCAGCUAUACAACAGAAAACCACUGAUGCAGAGACAUCACCUUCUUUCCACUCGUCACCCCAACCACAGUGUUUAUAAAAGCUGUGUGGCUCAUUUGUACUGCAAACAGAUUCCCUACCCUAGCUUCCAGAUUCCUCCAUCACUUAUUUUCAUGCAGUCACAGUGGCCCUAAACAGACUAUCCUAAAACUGACAUUUCACCAACAUUACUUUCUCCUACUUCAGUGCCAGGGCAAAAAAGACAGGAAAAAAGUCUUUGAGGAAACUCUUCUCCCUCAUAUCAGUGUUUGUUUUCAAAGAAACUUCACGUUUUCAAAGCCCUUUCUGGAUAGCCCAAGACUUAAAACUUAUUAAGCAGUGCACACAGAAGUUUUCAGCAGGUGACAAUAUUGUGAAAACAAGCUCACAAAAACUGACUUCCAGCUCAAAGCACCCUUGGCAAUGGCCCACAUUCUGCCUUUACACGGUGUUGUGUAAUGGGAUCGCUUUGCAUGCACCACACACCACUGUAAUGCAGCAGCUCCUCAGCAAGUGCCAGCAUGGUAGAUGAACAGUGGUUACCUUCAGUGCCAGAUUUCUAAAAGCCCACAUAAUGAUGCUUUGACAGCUGUCCAAUCAGUAUGUAUACAUCUAGAUAUACAGAAGACUCAAAUCACUAGCCUCCCAUUUACAAAGGCAGUCUAAAAGCAAAAAGCAUGACUUCACCAAAAGCUGUUAGAACAGAACUAGAUUCAUCCCUUCUAUUAACCUUUUGUUCAUCGAAUACUGCCAGAACUCAAGUUUUGUGACUUAAGAUACAUUAAGUAUACCGUACCUAAAUAUGAAUCUACAUGUUGCCUAGAAAUGCUUCUCAUGAGACUGUAACUCAUCCUCAAAACAUGUAAUAAUAUGCCGUAGAAUCAUAUAAUUGUCAAGGUUGGAAAAGACCACCAAGAUCAUCUAGUCCAGCUGUCAGCCCAUCACAACCAUGCUCCGUAGUGCCACAUGUCCACAGUAAGACCUCCAGCAAUGGUGACUGUACCACAUCCUUCAAGACGAUUUCAAAAUAACUCCUAAAAAUUCAACCUGCCCCCAAUAUCCUGCCCACCAGCCAUUUCCCUUUCCACACUUAUCACUAUAGCUAAUUUAAUCUUUAAAAUAUCUGUCAAAGAAAAAGAUUGCCGUGCUUUUGGUAUGUUGUUUUUGUGUUUGAAAUAAAAACUGGAACGGUGAUCAAAAAAGUUGGAACAGUGAAUAAAAACUGAUUGUCCCAGGGGAUGGAGGGUGCUUACUUAAAGAAGUGGCGUUCAUUUUUAACAGCCUUAACUUCAGUAUGUUCAUCAUCUCAUUCAAUACUCCGUUACUACAGCACAGCAAGACUGUUUCUCCAUAUCCUCCUGAUCUAUUUAGAGGAAGAAAACAGAACAAAAAAAAAAAAAGUUUUUCCUUCCACCCAGGAGGCUCAUGAAGCCAUGCCCCCAAACACCAGCACCCUCCUGCUUCACACAGAACUCCUGCGCACACUUCCAAGAACUAAGCUGGCUCUUUGCACAGUGAGCUUUUCAUGUGAGCUUUACUCACCAUGCUUUUUCCCACAAUUCAGAUAUGCAAGAUUGCGAACUCUUUUCAAAGCAACAACAAACAAACAAACAACAAAGAGAUGGAUAGUUAUUUUUAUAGCUGGGGUUAUGCCACCUGGAAUUAAAUGCCAGACAUAUCUAUGUGCCUGCUGAAUGGCCUAAGUUGAUCUUCAAAUAAUUGAUAAAAAGCAGCCUGAAUUCACAGACCCAUAGAAUCGCUUGUGUUAGAAGGGACCCUUAAAGGCCAUCUAGUCCAACCCCCAUGCAAUGAACAGGGACACCUACAGCUCCAUCAGUGCUCAGAGCCCCAUUCAGCCUGAGCUUGAACGUCUCCAGGCAUGGGGCAUCCAGCACAUCUCUGGGCAACCUGUGUCAGUAUCUCACUUACCCUGUAAAAAUUUCUUCCUUAUAUUCAGUCUAAAUCUCCCCUCUUUUAACUUGAAACCAUUUCCUUUUGUCCUAUCACCAUUCACUAUCAGAAAGGAAUCCCUUUCUCUGAAAUACACAUUAUUUGUGCUGGCAAAAGUAAUGCUGGACUAGAGAAACUGAUGGAACCCCCUCAUGCUCACAGUUUCUAGGUUUCUAUGAAAUGAGGUAGAAUCUGCAAGGAUGAUUUAUAGCAUGUAGAAUCAUAGAAUCAUUAAGGUUGGAAAGACCAUUAAGAUCAUCUGGUCCAACCAUCAACCCACACGUUAACACUUCAGAACAAUACAAACUCCAGUCAGCAUGAAAAGCAGAUACAGCAUCACACCCAGAAUCUGCCCUGGAGAAUUACUGUGCUUGCAACACAAAAUAUAUUCUUGUAGCUAAUGGAAUGGCUUUAAGUCUGUGUACAAAACUCUACCUGUGAUUCCCUAAAAACACUUGGAUUACACAACAAAUAGCAUCCUCCAGAUGUCUUCAACUAAAUACUAGUGCCCUGAGCUUCUCCCUCAUUUCUGCUUUCUCUCCCAGGUUGCUUUUUAGGGGUACAGAGGGUGGGGACAUCGAAUUCAGUGACAAUAUUCUACCUUCCAAAAUGCUAUUUAUUUCAUGCAGAUCUCCUAAUUCUCUGCCUGAUACCCAGCCCGUCCUAGGGACAUCAGGCCACAAAUUUAGCAGCCCCGGGAGUAGCCCCCAGUGCCAUACAUCUCCCUCAGCACUACCAAGAGCUCAGAACCGAAUACGCAAAGGAGUGCACAGCCUCUUGUUUUCCCCACCACUGAGGCAGCUACAACCUUAAAGCUGCAGUUGUAGCCAAGCAAUAUUUCAGCAGUUUCUCCAAGCUCAGAAUUUUUUUUCUGGCUUCACAGCUGUAAUACUGGGACUUGGCUCCAUUAUUAUAUUUAUAUUAGUGCACAGGGAUAGACUUUAUAACACAUGGCAUAGUCAGAAUAUUUUAUGUUGCUUCUAGGAAGCCAAGAAAUAAUGCAAAUUUGGGUUGCAAAAGUACUGUCAGCAUGUUGUGCCUGCCUCUGCCAACACAAGUUUGUUUCCUCUGGUAUUUUAUUAUGUAUAUUUUUUAAUUACUACAGGAGGCUGAACUUCAACUUGCAGGUUAUUUCAGACUAACAGAUAGCUAGCAAGGAUUCUGGGGAAAAACUUCUUGUAAAGGAAGCUGGUUUCAGAAAUGCUACAUUGGAUUAAUGCUUACCCAGCUGCUAACACUGAGCAACUUUCAGACUUUAGGAUAAAUUCCCAUGUCUGUCUCUAUGUCGCCCAGGUUCAGAAAUCUAUAUCAGAAACACAGUCCUUCCUACACACACAGUGCUCAGAGGAGGACAGCAGCAUCAGUGGUCUAGCACUAGUAGAUAGUCCAGUGGUCUAAAAUGCAUCAUAUCAACCUUUAUGUACCUACAGGCCAGGCAUCUAACCUAACAAAAUCAUAUAUCCUUAUAGAGCCAUAGAAUCAUGGUUGGAAAAGACCAGUAAGAUUAUCUAGUCCAACCCCAACCCAUCCCCACCAUGCCCACUAACCAUGUCCCUC
ensembl:lncRNA